AGAGUUUGAUCCUGGCUCAGGAUGAACGCUGGCGGCGUGCUUAACACAUGCAAGUCGAACGAAGCACUUUAUUUGAUUUCCUUCGGGACUGAUUAUUUUGUGACUGAGUGGCGGACGGGUGAGUAACGCGUGGGUAACCUGCCUUGUACAGGGGGAUAACAGUUGGAAACGGCUGCUAAUACCGCAUAAGCGCACGGCAUCGCAUGAUGCAGUGUGAAAAACUCCGGUGGUAUAAGAUGGACCCGCGUUGGAUUAGCUAGUUGGUGAGGUAACGGCCCACCAAGGCGACGAUCCAUAGCCGACCUGAGAGGGUGACCGGCCACAUUGGGACUGAGACACGGCCCAAACUCCUACGGGAGGCAGCAGUGGGGAAUAUUGCACAAUGGGCGAAAGCCUGAUGCAGCGACGCCGCGUGAGCGAAGAAGUAUUUCGGUAUGUAAAGCUCUAUCAGCAGGGAAGAUAAUGACGGUACCUGACUAAGAAGCACCGGCUAAAUACGUGCCAGCAGCCGCGGUAAUACGUAUGGUGCAAGCGUUGUCCGGAAUUACUGGGUGUAAAGGGAGCGCAGGCGGGAAGACAAGUUGGGAGUGAAAUCUAUGGGCUCAACCCAUAAACUGCUUUCAAAACUGUUUUUCUUGAGUAGUGCAGAGGUAGGCGGAAUUCCCGGUGUAGCGGUGGAAUGCGUAGAUAUCGGGAGGAACACCAGUGGCGAAGGCGGCCUACUGGGCACCAACUGACGCUGAGGCUCGAAAGUGUGGGUAGCAAACAGGAUUAGAUACCCUGGUAGUCCACACCGUAAACGAUGAUUACUAGGUGUUGGAGGGUUGACCCCUUCAGUGCCGCAGUUAACACAAUAAGUAAUCCACCUGGGGAGUACGACCGCAAGGUUGAAACUCAAAGGAAUUGACGGGGGCCCGCACAAGCAGUGGAGUAUGUGGUUUAAUUCGACGCAACGCGAAGAACCUUACCAAGUCUUGACAUCCUGCGACGCACAUAGAAAUAUGUGUUUCCUUCGGGACGCAGAGACAGGUGGUGCAUGGUUGUCGUCAGCUCGUGUCGUGAGAUGUUGGGUUAAGUCCCGCAACGAGCGCAACCCUUACUGUCAGUUACUACGCAAGAGGACUCUGGCAGGACUGCCGUUGACAAAACGGAGGAAGGUGGGGAUGACGUCAAAUCAUCAUGCCCUUUAUGACUUGGGCUACACACGUACUACAAUGGCGUUAAACAAAGAGAAGCAAGACCGCGAGGUGGAGCAAAACUCAGAAACAACGUCCCAGUUCGGACUGCAGGCUGCAACUCGCCUGCACGAAGUCGGAAUUGCUAGUAAUCGUGGAUCAGCAUGCCACGGUGAAUACGUUCCCGGGCCUUGUACACACCGCCCGUCA
rnacentral:rRNA from 1 species